CCACGUUAUUGGCAAAACCGUUUAAAGGCGGUGACGCAAAGCUAAAGGGGCUAAGGGAAACUAUGCCAGCCAGCUAGCACA
rnacentral:ncRNA from 1 species